GCAGUGGUGGUUCAGUGACAGAAUUCUGACCUUCUAUGCAGGGAACCCAAGUUCGAUUCCUGGCCAGUGCA
rnacentral:tRNA from 1 species